UCCAUGAGGACUCAUAACGGAUGUCACAUGCAACACAAAUGAAUAAAAUAUAUAAGUAUAGCUCAUUAACCCCUUUCUUAAAACAAAAAAUAAUAGUUUAUAUAUAUAUAUAUUAAAAUAGAGCAUUAUGAUAGAUUAUAAUGCAUACAAGUAUUAUGCAUCAGUGGACCCACAAUGACUCGGUAUACAUGUAGAAAAUAAAUUGAAAUCUUGAAGGAAAUAUUCCUAAAUGAACACUAAACUACAGAACAUGUAUACUAUAAGAUUGAAAAGAUAUCAAAGGAGGGACAUAGUUUAAAAAUACCAACAAACUAUGCUACAUCAAAUAUAAAUAAAUAAAAAGAAAAGCAUAAACAAGAUAGUGUCUAGAAUUGAUAAUGGAAAACUCUUAAUUUUAACAAAGUCUUAAUAAGCAUGCUCACUAACAAAUCUCUAUAUUUUUUUUUACUACACUUGGUAUUAACAAAAGGCUCUAAUCAAAUUAAAAGAAUCUAAACUCAAGGUUAAGAGACCAUUUUAGAUAGAAUAAAAUUAUGACAAAAAAAACAAGACAUGCCUUUAUUAAUCAAGCAGUGCAUAAUAUGAAACAAUCGGUCAAAAUAUUAGAAGAAA